CCUACGGGUGGCAGCAGUGAGGAAUAUUGGUCAAUGGGCGCGAUCCUGAACCAGCCAAGUCGCGUGAGGGAAGACGGCCCUAUGGAUUGUAAACCUCUUUUGUCGGGGAGCAAAACACGCUACGCGUCGCGUUCUGCGUGUACCCGAAGAAAAAGCAUCGGCUAACUCCGUGCCAGCAGCCGCGGUAAUACGGAGGAUGCGAGCGUUAUCCGGAUUUAUUGGGUUUAAAGGGUGCGUAGGCGGAAGAUCAAGUCAGCGGUAAAAUUGCGAGGCUCAACCCCUUCGAGCCGUUGAAACUGGUGUUCUUGAGUGCGCGAGAAGUAUGCGGAAUGCGUGGUGUAGCGGUGAAAUGCAUAGAUAUCACGCAGAACUCCGAUUGCGAAGGCAGCUUACCGGCGCGCAACUGACGCUGAUGCACGAAAGUGUGGGUAUCGAACAGGAUUAGAUACCCCAGUAGUC
rnacentral:rRNA from 1 species